CCUCUCCGCGGGCGGUGGGGCGCCGCGCUGCUCUCGCCGGUGAUCUUUACCGUGGUCGUCACCGCCCUGGCGUUCGUCACGCCGAGAAAGAUC
rnacentral:tRNA from 1 species